AGCGGGGAUAACUAUUGGAAACGAUAGCUAAUACCGCAUAAGAACAUUUACUGCAUGGUAGAUGUUUAAAAGGUGCAAAUGCAUCACUACCAGAUGGACCUGCGUUGUAUUAGCUAGUAGGUGAGGUAACGGCUCACCUAGGCGACGAUACAUAGCCGACCUGAGAGGGUGAUCGGCCACACUGGGACUGAGACACGGCCCAGACUCCUACGGGAGGCAGCAGUAGGGAAUCUUCGGCAAUGGGGGGAACCCUGACCGAGCAACGCCGCGUGAGUGAAGAAGGUUUUCGGAUCGUAAAGCUCUGUUGUUAAGGAAGAACGAGUGUGAGAAUGGAAAGUUCAUACUGUGACGGUACUUAACCAGAAAGGGACGGCUAACUACGUGCCAGCAGCCGCGGUAAUACGUAGGUCCCGAGCGUUGUCCGGAUUUAUUGGGCGUAAAGCGAGCGCAGGCGGUUAGAUAAGUCUGAAGUUAAAGGCAGUGGCUCAACCAUUGUAGGCUUUGGAAACUGUUUAACUUGAGUGCAGAAGGGGAGAGUGGAAUUCCAUGUGUAGCGGUGAAAUGCGUAGAUAUAUGGAGGAACACCGGUGGCGAAAGCGGCUCUCUGGUCUGUAACUGACGCUGAGGCUCGAAAGCGUGGGGAGCGAACAGGAUUAGAUACCCUGGUAGUCCACGCCGUAAACGAUGAGUGCUAGGUGUUAGGUCCUUUCCGGGACUUAGUGCCGCAGCUAACGCAUUAAGCACUCCGCCUGGGGAGUACGACCGCAAGGUGAAACUCAAAGGAAUUGACGGC
rnacentral:rRNA from 1 species